UACCCCUUAACUAAGACCCUACCAAAAACCUAGGUUCUACAAUAUAAAAAAGAGAAAAAAACGCUGAACAAAGGAGAAGGCUGGAAAAACUGAUGAAAAGCUGAAAAGAUUCUCCAAACGACCCAUUGUCAUUGUUCAUCUUCUUCAGCAGAAUAACCCAAAACAGUGACCUUUCGCCGGAAAUCACCACACCCCGCACCUGAGCUUACGCCGAUCACCCAGACGACGAUCCUCUGCAUCCCCCGUCAACCAAGUUCGCCGGAAUCAAAAAAUCCCGUCGUCGUUGUUUCUUCUUCUUCGCACGGAACAGACAUGAACGACGCACCCUAGAGCGACCAUCUCCACCCUAGACGAAAUUGGUUUCUUCGUUCAUGAUCCAGUUUCGAGUGAAAAUCAGAAAGCAGAUUGAAAGGAAAAAGUUUUAGGGUCGUUGUUUAUCACCUUCAAAACCAAUCUCCCUUCUCCAUGUCCGGCGACCACACCUCCUCUUCAGCUCCAAACACAGCUGUGAAAAUCACCUAAAACUACUCUCCUUCUCGCACAGAAGAACAGCGACUCCAAAAUCGAGUUCAUCGGGGUCGAUGUCGCCGCCGACGAGCGGAUUCCGUUAGAAAUCCAGUCGAAGGUCCUGGCGAUUCUUCACUCUGGCGGGUUAUUCUAUUUAGUGUUGCUAUACGAUCUUGUUGGAGGCUCUGUAAUUGAUCCGGAUAUUGAAGAAAGUUUGCAGAUAUUUAAGGUCCAGGUACUUUGACUCAGUCCUAUCACCCUUGAGGCGAAGCAACUGUUCCAGAGACUUCGAGGUAUAUCUGUCGCGUCCGCAGAUCGAGAAGUCCCUUUCUACUCUCCCUAUUGUCUUAGCCCUUUUGUAUUUUCUUUUCCUUGUUAGAUAUUCUGGAGUUAUACACCGGUAGACAUUCCAAGGCUUGUGGUUUCAUGAGAUUCCAGAUUUUGGGAAAUGUUGUUAAUCUUCGAGAAGUUGUAUUGUAUAUGCCGAGCGGCAUUUUAAAUAAUAUUUUCAUUCGGUUAUUUUGGCUUUUAAUUA